rnacentral:rRNA from 1 species
ACGGCUCAGUAACACGUGGAUAACCUGCCCAAGGGUCUGGGAUAACCCCGGGAAACUGGGGAUAAUACCGGAUGGAUCACUAGUGCUGGAAUGCUUGGUGGUCGAAAGGCAACGCCUUUGGAUGGGUCUGCGGCGGAUUAGGUUGACGCCGGUGUAACGUACCGGCGUGCCUGUAAUCCGUACGGGUUGUGGGAGCAAGUGCCCGGAGAUGGAUUCUGAGACACGAAUCCAGGCCCUACGGGGCGCAGCAGGCGCGAAAACUCUACAAUGCAGGCAACUGCGAUAGGGGGACAUCGAGUGGCAUCCACCUUGGGUGCCUGUCCAACCGUCUAAAAAACGGUUGUUAGCAAGGGCCGGGUAAGACCGGUGCCAGCCGCCGCGGUAAUACCGGCGGCUCGAGUGGUGGCCGAUAUUAUUGAGUCUAAAGGGUCCGUAGCCGGCUUUGCAAGUCCCCUGGGAAAUCCAGCGGCUUAACCGUUGGGCUUUCAUGGGAUACUACAUUGCUUGGGACUGGGAGAGGUAGGAGGUACACGGGGGGUAGGGGUGAAAUCCUGUAAUCCUCCGGGGACCACCGGUGGCGAAGGCGUCCUACCAGAACAGGUCCGACGGUGAGGGACGAAAGCUAGGGGCGCGAACCGGAUUAGAUACCCGGGUAGUCCUAGCCGUAAACGAUGCCCGCUAGGUGUCACGACGGUCGUGAAUCGUCGUGGUGCCGUAGGGAAGCCGCGAAGCGGGCCACUUGGGAAGUACGGCCGCAAGGCUGAAACUUAAAGGAAUUGGCGGGGGAGCAC